CAGUACUGACACAGUGACACUCACAUUGUGGUUGUUUUUCUUUCCGUUUUAGUUCGAGUCCGGUGUUGUUGUUGAAUUGUUUGCUGUAACGCCUUCUCGUUUGAUUCACGGAUCGUUCCUCGUCUCAACCUGUCUCCGCAAGCGGACAGCUAGCUCCGAAAGACUUUCAGGUCGAGCCACACACAAGAAUGGAAAACUGGGACUACAUCUGGCUUGCGCUGCUCUCGCUGGCCUUUUUCGUUCUCCUGGGGGCACUAACCCUGGCAUACAACAGGUAUGUACAGUUGACGGUGGAAACACUGACGCCUCCGCAGCUGCCACAGGCAGCCGCAAGAAGAAGAGAUCCAGUGGAGGAGUACAUGGCACGCAUGCCACCUCCUACGUACAGGACAGCCAUAGCUGCUCCACCUCCCUAUAGUGAUAUGUUCACGUCCGUAUGAGAUUGAGUACUGCUAUUUUAUUAUUAUGUUACCUUGGCAUUUUCAAACAGCCUGUUCAAACAGCCUGUCGGACCUAUUGCUUUCAUAUUCUGCCAGUGUUUCAUUAGUUGGUGCGCAUGGAAAAACCUGUGCGAUGAUCUUUCUGGUUGAUUAUUUUGUCAAUGAUAGCUUUCGAAGUCAUCUCUGAUCUU